rnacentral:rRNA from 1 species
GAUCAUGGCUCAGGAUGAACGCUAGCUACAGGCUUAACACAUGCAAGUCGAGGGGCAGCAUCAUCAAAGCUUGCUUUGAUGGAUGGCGACCGGCGCACGGGUGAGUAACACGUAUCCAACCUGCCGACAACUCUGGGAUAGCCUUUCGAAAGAAAGAUUAAUACCGGAUGGCAUAGUUUUCCCGCAUGGGAUGGUAUUAAUUAAAAGUAAGUUUCGGUUGUCGAGUGGGGAUGUCCGUUCCUAG